GUAGGGAAUAUUGGUCAAUGGGGGCAACCCUGAACCAGCCAUGCCGCGUGAAGGAUGACAGCCCUCUGGGUUGUAAACUUCUUUUAUUAGGGAAGAAACCUUGGGAUUUAUCCCAAACUGACGGUACCUAAAGAAUAAGCACCGGCUAACUCCGUGCCAGCAGCCGCGGUAAUACGGAGGGUGCAAGCGUUAUCCGGAUUUACUGGGUUUAAAGGGUGCGUAGGCGGGACAAUAAGUCAGUGGUGAAAGCCUCCAGCUUAACUGGAGAAUUGCCAUUGAAACUGUAGUUCUUGAGUAUAGUUGAUGUGGGCGGAAUGUGGCAUGUAGCGGUGAAAUGCAUAGAUAUGCCACAGAACACCGAUUGCGAAGGCAACUCACAAAACUAUUACUGACGCUGAGGCACGAAAGCGUGGGUAGCGAACAGG
rnacentral:rRNA from 1 species